UGCAGGCUGCAACCCGCCCUGUAUGAAGUUGGAAUCGCUAGUAAUCGCGGAUCAGCAUGCCGCGGUGAAUACGUUCCCGGGCCUUGUACACACCGCCCGUCACACCAUGAGAGUCGGGAACACCCGAAGUCCGUAGCCUAACCGCAAGGGGGGCGCGGCCGAAGGUGGGUUCGAUAAUUGGGGUGAAGUCGUAACAAGGUAGC
rnacentral:rRNA from 1 species